GUGAAUCAUCAAAUUUUUGAACGCAAAUUGCACUCUCCUCGGAGAGGAUGCCUGUUUGAGGUUCAGCCUAUAAAAAAUCGACAUCGUUGCUGUUUCGCGGUGACGUUCAUCGGAAACUGGGUCAUCUUAAAUCCUUUUUGUUUUAAGCGACUUAAAAUUUUCUCUUUGGUUCCAUGAACGUUUCUAAUAUUUAUUUCUUUACUCGUUUAAU
rnacentral:misc_RNA from 1 species